GAGAGAGAAGUUCAAGAGUACGUGAAACCGUUCGGGGGUAAACCUGAGAAACCCGAAAGAUCGAAAGCCGAGAUACAGCGUCCGGCGCCGCGGGCGAUGCGGCGGCGGCGUGCACUUCUCGGCCGGUAGGACGUCGCGACCCGUUGGGAGUCGCCGGCGCACGAAGGGGGCGCGCGGGAAGCUCGAGGCGGCGCGGCGGAACUCGUUUCCGUCGUCUUUGCGUUGCCCCUCGAACCCGCCGCGCCCUCGAAACUCAGGCGCUCGGCAAGCCCGACGCGACAGUCAAAAACAGAUCGACGAGUUCGUUCGGCGGUGCGCCCUUUCGGCGCGCUCGACCUCGUCUCCGCCGACGCCCCUCCUCGCGGAGGCGGCGCGCGGUGGCGGGGGUUCUCGGGCGUGUGCACGCGUUCGCGCGCGCGCACACCGAAGUCCGAUCGUCGGCGACGCUUUUGCUUUGGGCGUUUUCAGGACCCGUCUUGAAACACGGACCAAGGAGUCCAACGUGCGCGCGAGUCAAUGGGAGCAAACUACUAAACCCAAAGGCGAAGCGAAAGCGAAGGGCGAACGGGGGCGUUCGUUCGCAUCCCGCUCGUCCGUCGGGAGGAUGGGCCGCCGCACCAAAUCCGAGCGGCCCCGCACUCCCGGGGCGUCUCCACCUGGCACCGCCGCGGUCGACCGAGCUUCGCGCUCGCGUCGUCGUACGGUGCCGGAGGCGCACCUCUAGCGCGCACGCUGGGACCCGAAAGAUGGUGAACUAA
rnacentral:rRNA from 1 species